UGGGGAAUAUUGCACAAUGGGCGAAAGCCUGAUGCAGCGACGCCGCGUGAGGGAUGACGGCCUUCGGGUUGUAAACCUCUUUCAGCAGGGACGAAGCGCAAGUGACGGUACCUGCAGAAGAAGCACCGGCUAACUACGUGCCAGCAGCCGCGGUAAUACGGAGGGUGCAAGCGUUGUCCGGAAUUACUGUGCGUAAAGAGUUCGUAGGCGGUUUGUCGCGUCGUGUGUGAAAACCAGCAGCUCAACUGCUGGCUUGCAGGCGAUACGGGCAGA
rnacentral:rRNA from 1 species